GUUGCAAAAAAUUAGUUCUCUUUCGAAAUCUUUAGUCAAAUAUUUGUAUAAACAAUUUUGUUUGAAAACAACUUAUCCACUGUUUUUAGAAACGUUGAUUAAGAACGAAAUAAAUAAAAACUAUAGAGAAUAAAGGAUUAGAUGGAGCCUGUGAGUCGAGGCGUGCGAUUGCACUGUCCUAGAAGCAAGAUUGCCCCUCCACGUACGAGGCGCCGGCAAUCACUCCUAGCGAUACAACGACCUUCGUCCACCCCGUCGGCACGGCUUCAGGGUGGUGCAAGAACGAACCGUCACAGCUUUUCAGAGAUCCAGCAAAACAGUGAAGAAGAAAUCCAGCAAAACAGUGAAGAAGAAGGAGAAGAGAGAAAAGGGGAGAAACGUGUAACAAAAAGAAAGUAGAAUAAAAUGAACCGGGUUCACGCGCGCACGGCACGAGCCGGGCGUGUAUUUAGACGAGAGCUCCACUCUCAUCACUUCCUAAGUAAUAACAAUGAGAAUAAAGUAGAAUAUAAACCAGAGCAAGUGAGGGUCUCUUUCCAAUGUGGGACUAAACACCACAUGAAAAAAGAUCAAAGCUUGGGCUUCCAGGCAAGGCCCAUUAACAGUGGGCUGCCCACAAAGUCCAAAGGCCAAAUUGAAGUUUUAAAACAUAUGAGCAUAUAAAGAAGUUUUAAAUCACUUGUUUUAAAUCAAAAUACUAACAAUC
rnacentral:lncRNA from 1 species